rfam:Erwinia tasmaniensis strain ET1/99 complete chromosome.
ACGCGGUGUUGACCGUGCAGGGUUUGAACCUGCAGCAGGUUCGAGUUGAACGCAGUGAGACAACGUUGCCAGCGGCAACGGCCCAGAGGGCGAGGCGCAGCCGAAGUCAUCCUGCACGACCCACCA